CAACGCAGAGCAAGCAGCUCAGCUCAGCCUGAAGCUCUGUAACCAGUUUUGGGGAGCAAGCAAUAGCCUUGGUUUGUGACCCCAGCCCCCUCCGUCCUCGCCAAAAUCCGGGGAGGAAGCAGACCCGCGGAACCAGAACUACAGUCAGAUAAGAAAACUGAUGCAGGAGGGGAAGCAACUUGAGAAUGUCACAGAAGUUGUAAGUGGAUUCAAGCCAGGAGUGUGCCAGAGUCAGCUUGGGAGCUGGUCGUUAAAUUUUCAGUGUUAAAUUAAACAGACAAAGGGCUGCUGCUGUCCAUACUAAAAAACCAGUGGGGAUUGCUUUAAUGGGGACCACUUUCAACUGGAAAAUUCAUGCUUAUAUUUUUAUAGCUCACUAUGUGGAGUUCUUUCAUCCAGCCAAGAUUGCAGAUUCAUGGAACCAAUGAAGGGGGACUGCAGCAACCCUAUGGGAUUGGUGAAAUUCUUCCAGAAGUCCUCUUUCCCAGAACUCUGAUGAGGAAGAGUGAUGUGUUUAUGGUGAACUCAGAUUUGAUAAUGCAUUUUAAACAGAGAGGAGAAAUCUCAUCUGGUUCAAGGUUCCUGUUUUUUCUCUAUAGUUCACACAUCCAGCUCAGUAUCUCUUCUCCCCUUUCCCC